rnacentral:rRNA from 1 species
AUGGAUGACAGCCUCUACGACGAGUUCGGCAACUACAUCGGCCCGGAGCUCGCCGACUCCGACGCCGAUGACUCGGACGCCGCCGCCUCCCCGUCCCCCUCGCAGUCCCGCUCCCCCUCCCCGGCGCGCUCCCCGUCCGGCUCCCCCAACUCCCGCCGCCCCGCCGCCCUCAUGGAUGUCGACGACGACGACUACGCCGACGCCGCCCAGAACGCCGUCGUCCUCGCCGAGGACAAGAAGUACUACCCCACGGCCGAGGAGGUCUACGGCCCGGGCGUCGAGGCGCUCGUCAUGGACGAGGACGAGCAGGCGCUCGAGAAGCCCAUCGUGGCGCCGCCCCGCGUCGUCAAGUUCGAGGUCGGCACCCGCGCCGGCGCGACCUCCACCUACGCCUCCACCGAUUUCAUCCUCGGCCUCGCCUCCAACCCGCUGCUGGUCCGCAAUGUGGCGCUCGUGGGCCACCUGCAGCACGGGAAGACGGUAUUCAUGGACAUGCUCGUGGAGCAGACCCACGAGGUGGACACGUUCGACUCCGAGGGCGAGCGCCACAUCCGGUUCACAGACACCCGGGUGGACGAGCAGGAGCGCAGGGUCUCCAUCAAGGCUGUGCCCAUGUCACUCGUGCUCGAGUCGGGGAAUGGCAAGUCCUAUCUCUGCAAUAUCAUGGACACGCCUGGGCAUGUCAAUUUUUCCGACGAGAUGACUGCUGCGCUCAGGCUAGCGGAUGGGGCUGUGCUUGUUGUCGAUGCUGCUGAGGGCGUCAUGGUAAACACUGAGAGGGCGAUUCGUCAUGCAAUCCAAGAAAGACUUCCCAUCGUUGUUGUGAUUAACAAGGUUGACAGACUGAUAACAGAGCUAAAGCUACCCCCAAAUGAUGCGUAUUUUAAGCUACGACAUACACUGGACACAAUCAAUGAUCUAAUCUCAUCUUGUUCUACCACAGUAGGUGGCACUCAACUGGUAGACCCUGCUGCUGGAAAUGUUUGCUUUGCGAGUGGUUCAGCUGGCUGGUCUUUUACCUUGCAAUCGUUUGCGCAUCUUUAUUUGAAGAUUCAUGGGAUUCAGUUUGACCAUGAGAAAUUUGCAUCUCGUCUAUGGGGAGAUUUGUAUUAUGACCAUAACUCCAGAACCUUCAAAAAGAAGCCGCCAGCAGCAGGUGCUAAUAGGUCAUUCAUUGAGUUCAUCCUUGAGCCUCUGUAUAAAAUCUAUAGUCAGGUUGUUGGAGAGCAACAGAAAAUUCUUGAAAUAACUCUCGCUGACUUGGGUGUGACACUGAGCAAUGCAGCUUACAAGCUUAAUGUUAGGCCUUUGCUGAGACUUGCUUGCCGCUCAAUUUUUGGCACUGCUACUGGUUUUACUGACAUGUUAGUGAAAAACAUCCCCAAUGUGAAGGAUGGUGCUGCAAGGAAAAUAGAACACAUAUACACCGGUCAACAAGAUUCCUCCAUUGUGGAUGCAAUGAAGAAAUGUGAUUCCCAUGGUCCUCUUAUGGUCAAUGUUACAAAACUGUAUCCUAAGCCUGACUGUAGUGUCUUUGAUGCCUUUGGACGAGUUUAUAGUGGCACAAUACAGACUGGUCAGACAGUUCGGGUGCUUGGAGAAGGCUAUUCCCCUGAUGAUGAAGAGGAUAUGACUGUCAAAGAGGUCACCAAGCUGUGGGUCUAUCAGGCACGGUACCGUGUUCCAAUAAGUAAUGCCCCCGCUGGUUCUUGGGUUCUUAUUGAAGGUGUGGAUGCAUCAAUCAUGAAAACUGCAACCAUAUGUCCUAUGAACAUGGAUGAAGAUGUGUACAUAUUUAGACCUCUACGCUUCAAUACCUUACCUGUUGUGAAGAUAGCAGCUGAGCCUCUUAACCCGAGUGAGCUACCUAAAAUGGUGGAAGGUCUACGUAAAAUUAGCAAGAGCUACCCUCUUGCUAUUACUAAGGUAGAAGAGUCAGGAGAACACACUAUACUUGGGACUGGUGAGCUAUAUCUAGAUUCUAUAAUGAAGGACCUCAGAGAGCUUUACUCUGAGGUAGAAGUGAAGGUUGCAGAUCCAGUUGUGACAUUUUGUGAAACAGUUGUUGAUACUUCCUCUAUGAAAUGUUUUGCUGAAACACCCAACAAGAGGAACAAAAUUACCAUGUUAGCUGAACCACUAGAGAAGGGCUUGGCAGAAGAUAUAGAGAAUGGCCUCGUAAGCCUUGACUCGAGGCAGAAAGAAGUCACCGACUUCUUUCGCCAACGCUACCAGUGGGAUGUGCUUGCAGCAAGGUCAAUAUGGGCUUUUGGACCUGACAAGCAGGGUCCUAACAUUCUAUUGGAUGACUCUCUUUCGGUUGAGGUGGAUAAGAAUUUGCUGAAUGCAGUCAAAGAUUCAAUUGUUCAAGGGUUUCAGUGGGGGGCUAGAGAAGGCCCCUUGUGUGAUGAACCAAUUAGGAAUGUGAAGUUCAAGAUCUUAAAUGCAAAUAUCGCUCCAGAACCAUUGCACCGUGGAGGUGGCCAAAUAAUCCCCACAGCUCGUCGGGUUGUCUACUCAGCGUUUCUAAUGGCUAAUCCUCGACUAAUGGAGCCUGUUUAUUAUAUUGAGAUCCAAACUCCAAUUGACUGUGUGUCUGCUAUAUAUACGGUCCUGUCGCGGCGACGUGGCCAUGUGACAGCCGAUGUACCCAAGCCAGGCACUCCAGUAUACGUUGUUAAGGCAUUUUUACCUGUCAUAGAGUCUUUUGGGUUUGAGACAGAUCUCAGAUACCAUACACAGGGACAAGCAUUUUGUGUGUCGGUGUUUGAUCACUGGGCAAUUGUUCCUGGCGAUCCUCUUGACAAGGGCAUUGUCCUCCGGCCUCUGGAACCGGCACCUAUCCAACACCUUGCCCGUGAGUUCAUGGUAAAGACCAGGCGAAGGAAGGGCAUGAGCGAGGAUGUUAGCAUCAACAAGUUCUUUGACGAGGCCAUGAUGAACGAGCUGGCACAACAGACUGCAGAUAUCCACUUGAUGAUGUAG